GAUUCAAUGGCUGUUUAUUGGUACAUUCUUUUAAAAAUUCACUUCUUUCCUCCUUUAUUUUAGCAUGUAAGUGUGACUUGGUUUCCAAUUGCCAAAGUGUGACAAGUUGUCUCAUAAACCUAUCACACUUCCAUGAAGAAGACAGCAGAAUUACAAAAACCAUGGGAAUCCCAUUCCUUCUCCUGUUAUGAUUAUCAAGGGAGGAGCAACCAAAGUGGAGCAAAGGUCUUACAGGUGGAAGCCCUGUUCUCCUCCUCUUCAGGAAGAGCCCAGGAAGGUAGAUGAGAAAAGAGGGCAGUUCAUCCACACGGUCUGCAACCUUCUCUGUCUGUUCUCAGUCUCAUGAAUCAAGCUCAAUGUGUAGAAGGACUUUGAUAAAGCUGUGUUGAAGAAUCAGUGACAAGGGAGGUAGUGCCCAUAUACCUUUUAGGGGCGUAAAUGUGUUGACUCAGCCACAAAUUUGAACCUCUCUCUUUCUUAGUCCUGUGAACAAUAACCAUGCACCACACAGCCCAGAUACUCCACAGGCAGCUCCAUGUGUGAGAUCACUUGAUUCUGCCCCACAAAAUCUUGCAGACAGUGACAUUACCUCAUUUUAUGGUUGCAGAAGCUACAGUGGGGUAACUCUGAGUAACUUGUUCAAGAUUUUUUAAAAUACUUGGAUUCAUCAGGACGAGAUUUUCCAGGGGGCUCUCUGACCCGAUCCUGUUCACUCUCAUUCUUUGGGACAAGGACAGCUUUGGCAGUGAGUCUAGAUGCCAAACCCACCAGCAGGCAAGGGGAUCUAUCUUGGGGUGCUUAGCAUUGUACAGCUCAAAGUGUGUGGCAACUCACUGUGUACGCAAGCUUGAAAACAAUCAGCAAUCUUCUUCAUUCAAUUAAACACUAACCAGCCUAGAUGCCAGAGAGAAGGGCAGGGUGGCAUCUUCUCUGAGAGCAUCUGCCAGUCCUUCCACACAGCGUGAGACUGGGUGUAAGAGACACUGCACUACUCUAACAAAAGAAUCCGGACGGUGGGAAAUCUGUGGAAUCUCUUCCUACACUGAAGAUGUUCUAAGAGAUGCUGGAAUUGAAGCCAAGAUCCAGCAAUGAAAAUGUAAACAUGGAGAGUGGCAACUUGAAGCCAUGGCUGAUACUUCUACCCAGAACCAAGCCGAUGUGCCUGCAAGAUUUGGGAAAUGAAACCCCUCAAAGAGGGGGGUUUGUUCAGACUGUACAUGAAAUAAGAGCAGAAAGAGGCAGCACAUGUCACUGGAUUCACAGCCCCUUGUCACUUGCCGAUGACAGGCCGCUGUCCUCUGGGAGCUUCCCCUGCCUGCUGGCUGGUGCUGGGCUCUGCUUGGCAGACUGGUGAGAUCCAUGUUUCUGGAGACUUAAGAUGCCAGGACCCAUCCUGCUCUGCAGCCUGGAUGGCCAGCUGAAGAUCUGACAGCCUCACCUGAAGGGAAAACAUCUCUAUGGCUGGGUCCCUCUCUCCUCUGGGUAUCAAAAAGUAGAUGGAGGAUCCACCGCAGGGAGUGUCUGAAACUCUUCUGGGACCACUUGGCGCCCCUCAAAUUAUGGGCCAAGCUAAAGAAAUGAAAACCAGAUGUG